rnacentral:rRNA from 1 species
GACGAACGCUGGCGGCGUGCUUAACACAUGCAAGUCGAACGAUGACGACCGAGCUUGCUCGGUCUGAUUAGUGGCGAACGGGUGAGUAACACGUGAGCAACCUGCCCUUCACUCUGGGAUAACCUCGGGAAAUCGGGGCUAAUACCGGAUAUGAGCUCCUGUCGCAUGGCGGGUGUUGGAAAGUUUUUCGGUGAAGGAUGGGCUCGCGGCCUAUCAGUUUGUUGGUGAGGUAGUGGCUCACCAAGGCGAUGACGGGUAGCCGGCCUGAGAGGGCGACCGGCCACACUGGGACUGAGACACGGCUCAGACUCCUACGGGAGGCAGCAGUGGGGAAUAUUGCACAAUGGGCGAAAGCCUGAUGCAGCGACGCCGCGUGAGGGAUGACGGCCUUCGGGUUGUAAACCUCUUUCAGCAGGGAAGAAGCGAAAGUGACGGUACCUGCAGAAGAAGCGCCGGCUAACUACGUG